UACAGAGGGUGCGAGCGUUAAUCGGAAUUACUGGGCGUAAAGCGUGCGCAGGCGGUUUGCUAAGACCGAUGUGAAAUCCCCGGGCUUAACCUGGGAACUGCAUUGGUGACUGGCAGGCUAGAGUAUGGCAGAGGGGGGGUAGAAUUCCACGUGUAGCAGUGAAAUGCGUAGAGAUGUGGAGGAAUACCGAUGGCGAAGGCAGCCCCCUGGGCCAAUACUGACGCUCAUGCACGAAAGCGUGGGGAGCAAACAGG
rnacentral:rRNA from 1 species